rfam:Schistosoma haematobium scaffold46_3, whole genome shotgun sequence.
AUCCAGCUGACGAGUCCCAAAUAUGAUGAAACGCUCAUCCUAGAU